CAGUAGCCGCGGGAAUACGUAGGUGGCAAGCGUUGUCCGGAAUUAUUGGGCGUAAAGGGCUCGCAGGCGGUUUCUUAAGUCUGAUGUGAAAGCCCCCGGCUCAACCGGGGAGGGUCAUUAGAAACUGGGAGACUUGAGUGCAGAAGAGGAGAGUGGAAUUCCACGUGUAGCGGUGAAAUGCGUAGAGAUGUGGAGGAACACCAGUGGCGAAGGCGACUCUCUGGUCUGUAACUGACGCUGAGGAGCGAAAGCGUGGGGAGCGAACAGGAUUAGAUACCCGCGUAGUCCCUGUCUCUUAUAC
rnacentral:rRNA from 1 species